UACAGAGACCUCGAGCGUUAUCCGGAUUUAUUGGGCGUAAAGCGCGCCUAGGCGGGUUUGUUAGUCAAAUGUCAAAUCUCCUGACUUAAUCGGGAAACUGCAUUUGAAACGGCAAAUCUUGAGGACACGAGAGACCAGUGGAACAUAUGGUGUAGCAGUGAAAUGCGUUGAUAUCAUAUGGAACACCAAAGGCGAAAGCAUCUGGUUGGCGUGUUUCUGACGCUCACGCGCGAAAGCGCGGGCAGGGAAUGGG
rnacentral:rRNA from 1 species